GUGCUAUUGAAGAGUCCCGCAAUAAGACGAAACGGCUGUCCAGCAC
rnacentral:hammerhead_ribozyme from 1 species